rnacentral:lncRNA from 1 species
CUAGCUGGCACUGAACACUCACAGGCGACAGAUGGAAAAGUUUCCGACCAACGGGAAGGUUACGAUCUGGUACCAGUCCAGCACUGACAAAUGGAGAUAUGAGCUCACUCACUCACAGCUGUGCUCACCUUCAUGGGAAGAGUCGGCCCUCUACUCCAGUACGAUGACACACAAACCCUGGCUGCACUGGGGAUUAUGGGAUCGGCUUCUCUGAAACUCUCUUACUUUUUAAAAAUCCUGUAGAAGGAUCAGGUAACAGGAAAAUGGCCGGUGAAUUCUGUAAAAGGAAGUGAGUAGAACUGUUUUGGGUUAGAAAAGAAGCACUUUAGGCAGCCACCAUGGGAAGAAGGCGGGUCACCUUCUCACUGAAGAUAAGAGACCAAGUGCUGAUGGACAGCAACAGGCAGUGUCUGAAAACUAGUCCGAUACCAUCAUGGUCUUUGAGGGAAAAUCUGAUUCCACUGGGGUUUCCAUGUCAAUAGUGGACUCAAAUUUAAAAAGUCUCCAGUCCAUUUCCAGAAGUACAAGUGUUUUCUACAUGAGUAGAGGAAUCAGAAAGAAACCAACUCAACUCUUUC